rnacentral:lncRNA from 1 species
CGUAUACGUGCGCGGCCGCGGGCCGUGCCGCUUGUAAAGGAGCGCGUCUCUGAAUCAUGGCGUGGAUGGCGGCCGGGGCGGACAUGCAUGAUGAGCGCCCCGGAGCGUGAUGCGCUUUUCUGCCUCGCUCGUUGUCCGGCGCGAUCGUGCAGGGUGUAGAACCGGGGGGAAAGUCGACGUUGACGCCAAGGGUUCCACGUUUGUAGGCGAGGAACGCUACACGU